rnacentral:lncRNA from 1 species
UUGAUAAAUUGUGAAAAUGUUAAUUUUCACCUGAUGUACUGUAUAUGGUAUUCACAUGUGGUACAAAUACCUGUAAGAAAAAUACAUUAGGUCCAUGGUGGUGUUUGGAUAUCGUAAAACCUAUAUUGAACUAGUUUUUGAAAUGAAUACAUGAUCUAGAGCACGCUGGCUAUUAGGUCAUGAAAUGAAAUUAUCGGCUCUGAUACCAUCUUGAAUUUGAACCUUUACAAAAUUGGAAAUUGAUUGCUUUAGUUGUGUUUUCAAAAGGCUCAAGAUUUUCCGAGGUUAAUCGCCAAUGUGACUUAAUUGCUCAAGAUUUUAUAUUAAUGAUAAUCUACAAAUC